GCUACGGGGUACCAGGUUUUGUUACAGCUUUUAGAGGAUUCCAAUUGGGAAAAGGUAUAUGCCAUAAGCCGAGAGAAAAUUGAAAUGGAUUACGAGAAUCUAGUUAAUAUUGUCUUAACAGACUUUAUGAGUGAACUCAAUAGCUCAAAAGAUAAAUGGAGCGAUGUAGAUACGGUGUUUAAUUGCUUGGGAACAACUAGAUGGAAGAGCGGAAGUGCGGAAAAUUUUGUUAAAGUAGAAAGGGAUCUUACUGAUGUUCUUUGCAAGACAGCCAAAUCUAUUGGGGUUAAACACAUGCUUCUUAUAUCGGCUCAAUAUGCUAAUUCCGAACACUGGGGCCCAAGCUGGUUUCAACCUCUUUUUUACUUAAAAACAAUGGGGGAAAAGGAAGAAGUAACUCUAAAGCAUAAUUUUAUAAGAACAACUAUAAUGCGGCCUGGAAUGCUUAAUCGUCUUCGAAGUGACCGUUUUGGCGAAUCACUCAUGGCGCAUUUGGUACCCACGUUAGACGUUAGGAUACUGGCAAAAGCAAUGAUAAAAGCCGCUAACCAGAAAGUAACAAGUUCAAACUCAAGUUCUGUGGGCUAUUAUACUGGGA